CACGUAGGCACCAAGCGUUGUCCGGAUUUAUUGGGCGUAAAGAGCUCGUAGGCGGUUCGGUAAGUCGGGUGUGAAAACUCUGGGCUCAACCCAGAGCCGCCACCCGAUACUGCUGUGACUCGAGUGCGGUAGGGGAGCGGGGAAUUCCUGGUGUAGCGGUGAAAUGCGCAGAUAUCAGGAGGAACACCAGUGGCGAAGGCGGCGUCUGGGUGGAUACUGACGUGAGGCGCGAAAGCUAGGGGAGCAAACGGG
rnacentral:rRNA from 1 species